UACGUAGGGUGCAAGCGUUAAUCGGAAUUACUGGGCGUAAAGCGUGCGCAGGCGGUUCGCUAAGACAGAUGUGAAAUCCCCGGGCUUAACCUGGGAACUGCAUUUGUGACUGGCGGGCUAGAGUAUGGCAGAGGGGGGUAGAAUUCCACGUGUAGCAGUGAAAUGCGUAGAUAUGCGGAGGAACACCGAUGGCGAAGGCAAUCCCCUGGGCCUGUACUGACGCUCAUGCACGAAAGCGUGGGGAGCAAACAGG
rnacentral:rRNA from 1 species